rnacentral:rRNA from 1 species
GACGAACGCUGGCGGCGUGCCUAAUACAUGCAAGUCGAGCGGACCAAAGAGAGCUUGCUCUUUGAGGUUAGCGGCGGACGGGUGAGUAACACGUGGGCAACCUGCCUGUAUGACUGGGAUAACACCGGGAAACCGGUGCUAAUACCGGAUAAUCCUUUCCCUCUCAUGAGGGAAAGCUGAAAGUCGGUUUCGGCUGACACUUACAGAUGGGCCCGCGGCGCAUUAGCUAGUUGGUGAGGUAACGGCUCACCAAGGCGACGAUGCGUAGCCGACCUGAGAGGGUGAUCGGCCACACUGGGACUGAGACACGGCCCAGACUCCUACGGGAGGCAGCAGUAGGGAAUCUUCCACAAUGGACGAAAGUCUGAUGGAGCAACGCCGCGUGAGCGAUGAAGGCCUUCGGGUCGUAAAGCUCUGUUGUUAGGGAAGAACAAGUACCGGAGUAACUGCCGGUACCUUGACGGUACCUAACCAGAAAGCCACGGCUAACUACGUGCCAGCCGCCGCAGUAAAAC